rnacentral:rRNA from 1 species
UGAACGCUGGCGGCGUGCUUAACACAUGCAAGUCGAACGAAGCACUUAAGAAGAUUCUUCGGAUUGAAUCUUUGUGACUUAGUGGCGGACGGGUGAGUAACGCGUGGGCAACCUGCCUCCGUCUGGGGGAUAACAGUUAGAAAUGACUGCUAAUACCGCAUAAGCGCACAUUACCGCAUGGUAGAGUGUGAAAAACGUUAGUGGACAGAGAUGGACCCGCGUUAGAUUAGCCAGUUGGUGGGGUAACGGCCUACCAAAGCGACGAUCUAUAGCCGGCCUGAGAGGGCGACCGGCCACAUUGGGACUGAGACACGGCCCAAACUCCUACGGGAGGCAGCAGUGGGGAAUAUUGCACGAUGGGGGAAACCCUGAAUGCAGCGACGCCGCGUGAGUGAAGAAGUAUUUCGGUAUGUAAAGCUCUAUCAGCAGGGAAGAAAAUGACGGUACCUGACUAAGAAGCCCCGGCUAACUACGUGCCAGCCGCGGC